AUGCACUGUACUAAGUACUUUUCGUCUAUUAUCUCAUUUAAUCCUUGCUAAAGCUCACAGAUGUGGGUAGUGUCAUCUCUGUUCUACAGGUGAUGGAACUGAGGCAGAGUGGGACCAGGCAAACUCACCUGGGGCCCCUCAGCUAGUGGGUGGUAGGGUCCAAGGCAUGUCUGCCUCUGAAUUCCUGCCUUUAGCCAAUUCAUCAUCAGUCUUCCUCGUCUGUGCAAUGGGGAUCAUUUAACAUGGCUCCACAGGGCUGGGCUGUCCUGGGUGCCAGUGUCUCUGUGAAGCGUGUUAUAAACCUGAAGGUCUGUACUCCAUCUCAAAAAAAAAAAAAAAAUCAUGGUUCAUUUUUUUUCACAGCAGUUUAAAAGAUCUCAAGAUUUUUGUUGAUAGAAAAUAAAACAAGGAAAACUAUGUCCAGUGGAUGAGAUGGACCUGAGUUCCCAGUGUACAGGGUAAGGAGACCCAGAGUACCAGCACUCCAUUGUGUUAGGGCCACACACCCACCUCCCACACCCAGAAAGAAAAUGGUACAUGUGGUGGAUUUGAUUCUUUUCCAAAUUUUCC
rnacentral:lncRNA from 1 species